GCUACCUUGGAGGAGAGAACAGACGGCAGGUGAAGCCUGGGCUGGAGCCUCUACAGUUCGCUGCCUAAUCUUUUAAAAAAAAAAAAAAAACUUCAGUUAAAUUUCCCAAGCACUUCUCCUAUAGCCAUGCACAAGGUAGGUUGAAUGGGAGAACCCUACCCUGUGACCCCAGGGGCCUGGUGCCCAGUGCUGACCUCGACUUCCGUGAACUCGGUAGCUGAGUCUGGCCUACCCUACCUUUAUCUACCGCUGAGGGGAAGGGCAGCACCCGGUCUCUAACUCUGCAGGAAGCAGGGCCAGGGCUGGGCGGGCCAGGGUAGAAGAGAGGACAGGGACCUGACAAGAAGGGGGAACAGGCAUUCUCUCAUACUGCUCCCUCUGGAGCAACCAGUAGUGGCUUUGGAGUCUGCAGGGUGGGCAUCUGGAACUGUCCAGAACCUGAUGAUAAUAUCCGUUAACAAUAAUGAUAGCCGCUAAUAUUUAGUGAGUAUGGGCUCGGACCAGGCCUCGGUCUGUGUGCUUGGAACACACCGUCUUCCUGAAGCUCUGAAACCACGUAUGAAGUAGGUAUUACUUUAAUUUUUUGGAUUAGGAGACACAGAAGAAAUUUAUGUCACGUGUCUAAGCUGGCAGUGGCUGAGCUGGGGUAGGACCACAGAGGAGAUAAUGCUGAGUCCUUGACCACUGCUUGGCCAGUUACUGUCUCGGUGGGGGUGAGCUCAUGAAGCUCUCUAAAUUCAGCCAAACUUUGAAGGCUCUAGAGAGCUUUCUCGUUGACCCGAGUCCGAUCGAAUAGUUACUAUUUGAUGUUCUCUCGAGAGCUAAAUAUCAAUGAUCCUAAAUGCAUCCAUUUCAACUUGUUGACCAAAUACUUUUUAAAAAUAUCUUUUGAAAUUAUGUUUUUUUAAAAAAAUCUGGUAACAUACCUGAAAAACAGGAGUGUCUUCAAAAAUCCCCCCCUUCCCCACAAUUUUCUGCACAAAUAUAUGAGUGAAACAAAAACACAUGUAGAUAAACACACACACAGAUCACAUACGUAGAUACACAUAAAGAGAACAUACCUACUGGGGUAAACAUCACCUCCGUAUACAUUAUCUGCUAACAUGAACAUGCACAUAAAGCCUAAACAUGGAAGAGAGAGAGAGAAGAGAGAGAGAGAGACCCUAAAAUUCAUCCCUAGAGUCCACCUUGGUGAACACUUUACCCAGACCCCAGCUACACACAUACUUACUUUCACAAAAUAAAGAUUCCAUUAUAAAAUGGUUGGAGUCCUGGGCCUGAGGCAAGAAAUCCGGAACACACCCUCCUGAGGGAUCCCUCUCCAGCUUUGGUCAGUGGGAAGAAAACAACCGCUCAGGACUUUGGGACCGUCUCCCGUUCGCAUCCUCUCCUAAAGUCCCCUUUCCCCAUUCUAUCCCACGGAAGCCGAGGAGGCCUGUUCACCACCUAUAGAAAAAGCCUUCUGGCUUGAAUCCGAUGUCCCCCAGCUGAGGCUCUUUAGGCGAGUCCUGGUUCCCUUAAAAAGUUGCCUCAAGACACAAGCCAUGAUGUGAGCAGCCCGCCCCCCCAACCGUGAAGACUUGUAGAUUCAGGUCCAGUCUUAACACGUGCCCUUUCGACUGAGUUUACUGAGGCUAGAAGGUUGGGCAGGCUGAAGAAGGCUAAGUAAACCCAACGGUCCUCCUGCCUCAGCCUCAGCCUCGGAAGCACGGGGUGACAGGCAUGCGCCACACCCAGCUUCUUACUCCUUCCCAAAGGUUAGUGCUGACUUGCUCCAAAUCACUCACUGUUGGUAAGGAGGGACCUUGCUAAAGCCUUGAUCCUCAAAUGAUGAGGGGCUUCUUGGAAAUCCAUACUUGGUCCCAGCCUCUGAGACUAGGGGCUAGCUAGCUGGCGGGACAAUAUUCUUACGGGGAUACUUAGGGACAUUGAGGGGAAAGCAUUCUUUGUGGCUCUCCCAGUGAAGGGCUGGAAACAGGAGAGAAAGCAGGAGCCUCGAGGAGCACCAGUAAUCCCGAGGCUCCUCGACGCUGUCAUCUCUAGGAUAAAGGUAAGAGGAAAACAGACUCGAGUCUACUUUCCUGGCACUAAAAUCUAAGGAGGAAUCUGUGUCAAAGGCCAGAAGGUCUUUUUGUGGGGCUCCAGGGAUUUAGAUUUCUAGCCUGAGGCUGACAGGGACAGAAGUCAGAUUUGGGGAACUCAUCAGUUCCCCUCCCGGCCCCAGAAACCCCAGUGAGGGAAUUUCAAAUGCCUGGGACUUCCAAGAAAUCUCAGACUGUCAAAGCCAAGAAUUAAGGCCGCUCUCAGGUAUCAGAGACAUUUUCUUGGUCAAAGCCAUCAUGGAUUGGCUGAACCCCCAGGGAGCAAAGCUAAAUCCUGAGGUUCACAUCAGAGCAACCAGGAGGGCAGAAAAGCUGGAGGGAAGGGAUGGGAAGCAGUACCAGCCUUUCCCACACUGACGGAGACCAGCCCUCUCCUGCCUCCCUGGAGUGGUUGCCUCUGGGGAAUAACCUGGAGCUCGGCAAGCCUCUGCGCUUCUCUGCAAGGGACCUCAUCCUCCUGCUUUCUCUUCUUGACCAUGGGCUCCAGGUGGCAGGAUGCUAGCCUGCUAUCAGGGACCAGCGAGUGCAUGAGCGAAGAAAGACAGCCGCCGCUGCCGCCGGCGGCUCUAUUGUGGGCAGGAGGCUGAGGCCACUCACACCUCUGUUCCAGGAGGAAGCAUCUGCUGUCAAAACUCCUCUUCCUCGCCUCAGGUCUCUCCACUAUCCAUUCCCACCCAGGCCUGUUUCGGCAUUCCUCCCCUGGCUGCUCUCCCUCUGUCCCCAAGGCCUAAUCAAGAUGUCACCACCAGCUCCCACUGUCCAAGUCACCGUCUUCGCUUAGCAACACCAAACACCCUUUCCCAUCCUCCCCGAGCGAGCGUGAGGAGGAACGCCCCCUCCCCCGCUGCACACUCGCGGCCCCCAUCCUUUCCCUCUCGGCAGGCUCGGGAGUUGUUACUGAAUUGGCUCCCCCUGGCCCCAUCGCCCCCCUCCCCCGCUCCGCUGGCCGCCUUCUGCCUGAACUUACAUUAUCCUUCCCUUGCCGGUAGCUGCUGACAUCCAGAGUUCUCAAAACACAGGCGCGGUGUGGGCUUCUCUUCUUACUCAGAAACCAUCUGUACAGAGGUCUCUUCUCACCAAUCCACCUUAAGGAAGCAAAGCGUGGCUUCAGAGCGCAGUGAAGCAAAGGCCUCAGAAAUUUUCUGCUUAGUGUUCAACAUUCUCCAGAGACACUACUGAAAAGAGCCCAUGGGACAUUUCCCCAGCCUCCUUCACAGCGUCUCAUUUGCCUACCUUACGGCAGGAAUUGGAUUUUAUCCAUCUGACAGUAACCGUCCAUCGCUAACUAGGUCCUCUGUGUUCUUGUUGCUCAAUAGUGAAUAGACUUGCCUGGACCGGAGGUGGGAGAGUUGGCUGGUUCCUCGGAAGGACCUCUUUCCGUUGAAUCGGCCCACCUGAAGUGUGUCAUUCUGUCCAGCAUGCGGCAAGCAUUGCAUGCCUGUGCCUAAGCAAAUUCCUCCAGAGUCAGUAUCUUUCUGUGUAUUACCCAGAUGAGGACCGUGAUUCUCAGGUGUGUCUGACUUCGAUAUCUCCAUCAGUGAGUGUCAAUAAUCCCUUCAUUGGUUCCACUUUAAAGAAAAUUAAUAAAGCACCUCAUAGCUCUUUUC